UACGUAGGGGGCAAGCGUUGUCCGGAAUCAUUGGGCGUAAAGAGCGUGUAGGCGGUCCGAUAAGUCCGCUCUGAAAGCCCGGGGCUCAACCCCGGGAGGCGGGCGGAUACUGUCGGGCUAGAGUCCGGAAGAGGCAAGUGGAAUUCCAGGUGUAGCGGUGAAAUGCGUAGAUAUCUGGAGGAACACCGGUGGCGAAGGCGGCAUCCUGGACCAACACUGACGCUGAGGAGCGAAAGCCAGGGGAGCAAACGGG
rnacentral:rRNA from 1 species